UACGUAGGGGGCUAGCGUUGUCCGGAAUCAUUGGGCGUAAAGCGCGUGUAGGCGGCCCGAUAAGUCCGCUGUGAAAGUCGAGGGCUCAACCCUCGAAUGCCGGUGGAUACUGUCGGGCUAGAGUCCGGAAGGGGCGAGUGGAAUUCCUGGUGUAGCGGUGAAAUGCGCAGAUAUCAGGAGGAACACCAAUGGCGAAGGCAGCUCGCUGGGACGUGACUGACGCUGAGACGCGAAAGCGUGGGGAGCAAACAGG
rnacentral:rRNA from 1 species